GCUCUGCUCUUUCCAGAGCUGCUGCAUCUGUGGCCAGAGCGGGGCCACCAUUUCCUGCUGUGGAAGACACUGUGACCUGAGCUUCCACCUGCCCCGUGCCAAGCAGGGAGGCUGUGUCACCCAGUUCCACAGACCAUUCAGCUCCUACUGCCCCACAAACAGCCCAGAGCAGGCAGUGGAGGUGACUCCAGAGCCGGGCACCCAAUGCCUCAUCUGCUUGGAGCCUGUGGAGGACAGAAAGACCUUCAACACCCUGGUGUGCCCAGCCUGCAGAACCGCCUGGUUCCACAGGGACUGCAUCCAAGGACAGGCUCUGCAUGCUGGUCUUUUAUCCCUCCAGUGCCCCCUCUACAGAAAUAAUGACACAUUUGUCAUGAAUUUGUUCACCAUGGGGAUCCAAAUCCCCUUCAGGUUGGUGUCCUUCUGCCUGGCUCACAACACAGGGGGUGCAAGUGCUGUGCUGUGCCAGGGCCUGCCCCAGCAGUCCUGGCCCUGCCCUGGUCCGUGAGUCCCAGGUUCAGCUUCCUGCAGGAGCUGGAAAUGGCACAGGGGGAAGGGCAGGGACACCCUGCACCUGCCCGAUGCCAGGGCAGAGGGAGCUCAUCAGUUUUCCUUUUCCCAUCAGACC